rnacentral:rRNA from 1 species
UUAAGCGACUAAGCGUACACGGUGGAUGCCCUGGCAGUCAGAGGCGAUGAAGGACGUGCUAAUCUGCGAUAAGCGUCGGUAAGGUGAUAUGAACCGUUAUAACCGGCGAUUUCCGAAUGGGGAAACCCAGUGUGUUUCGACACACUAUCAUUAACUGAAUCCAUAGGUUAAUGAGGCGAACCGGGGGAACUGAAACAUCUAAGUACCCCGAGGAAAAGAAAUCAACCGAGAUUCCCCCAGUAGCGGCGAGCGAACGGGGAGCAGCCCAGAGCCUGAAUCAGUGUGUGUGUUAGUGGAAGCGUCUGGAAAGGCGCGCGAUACAGGGUGACAGCCCCGUACACAAAAAUGCACAUGCUGUGAGCUCGAUGAGUAGGGCGGGACACGUGGUAUCCUGUCUGAAUAUGGGGGGACCAUCCUCCAAGGCUAAAUACUCCUGACUGACCGAUAGUGAACCAGUACCGUGAGGGAAAGGCGAAAAGAACCCCGGCGAGGGGAGUGAAAAAGAACCUGAAACCGUGUACGUACAAGCAGUGGGAGCACGCUUCGGCGUGUGACUGCGUACCUUUUGUAUAAUGGGUCAGCGACUUAUAUUCUGUAGCAAGGUUAACCGAAUAGGGGAGCCGAAGGGAAACCGAGUCUUAACUGGGCGUUAAGUUGCAGGGUAUAGACCCGAAACCCGGUGAUCUAGCCAUGGGCAGGUUGAAGGUUGGGUAACACUAACUGGAGGACCGAACCGACUAAUGUUGAAAAAUUAGCGGAUGACUUGUGGCUGGGGGUGAAAGGCCAAUCAAACCGGGAGAUAGCUGGUUCUCCCCGAAAGCUAUUUAGGUAGCGCCUCGUGAAUUCAUCUCCGGGGGUAGAGCACUGUUUCGGCAAGGGGGUCAUCCCGACUUACCAACCCGAUGCAAACUGCGAAUACCGGAGAAUGUUAUCACGGGAGACACACGGCGGGUGCUAACGUCCGUCGUGAAGAGGGAAACAACCCAGACCGCCAGCUAAGGUCCCAAAGUCAUGGUUAAGUGGGAAACGAUGUGGGAAGGCCCAGACAGCCAGGAUGUUGGCUUAGAAGCAGCCAUCAUUUAAAGAAAGCGUAAUAGCUCACUGGUCGAGUCGGCCUGCGCGGAAGAUGUAACGGGGCUAAACCAUGCACCGAAGCUGCGGCAGCGACGCUGAUGCGUUGUUGGGUAGGGGAGCGUUCUGUAAGCCUGCGAAGGUGUGCUGUGAGGCAUGCUGGAGGUAUCAGAAGUGCGAAUGCUGACAUAAGUAACGAUAAAGCGGGUGAAAAGCCCGCUCGCCGGAAGACCAAGGGUUCCUGUCCAACGUUAAUCGGGGCAGGGUGAGUCGACCCCUAAGGCGAGGCCGAAAGGCGUAGUCGAUGGGAAACAGGUUAAUAUUCCUGUACUUGGUGUUACUGCGAAGGGGGGACGGAGAAGGCUAUGUUGGCCGGGCGACGGUUGUCCCGGUUUAAGCGUGUAGGCUGGUUUUCCAGGCAAAUCCGGAAAAUCAAGGCUGAGGCGUGAUGACGAGGCACUACGGUGCUGAAGCAACAAAUGCCCUGCUUCCAGGAAAAGCCUCUAAGCAUCAGGUAACAUCAAAUCGUACCCCAAACCGACACAGGUGGUCAGGUAGAGAAUACCAAGGCGCUUGAGAGAACUCGGGUGAAGGAACUAGGCAAAAUGGUGCCGUAACUUCGGGAGAAGGCACGCUGAUAUGUAGGUGAAGUCCCUCGCGGAUGGAGCUGAAAUCAGUCGAAGAUACCAGCUGGCUGCAACUGUUUAUUAAAAACACAGCACUGUGCAAACACGAAAGUGGACGUAUACGGUGUGACGCCUGCCCGGUGCCGGAAGGUUAAUUGAUGGGGUAGCGCAAGCGAAGCUCUUGAUCGAAGCCCCGGUAAACGGCGGCCGUAACUAUAACGGUCCUAAGGUAGCGAAAUUCCUUGUCGGGUAAGUUCCGACCUGCACGAAUGGCGUAAUGAUGGCCAGGCUGUCUCCACCCGAGACUCAGUGAAAUUGAACUCGCUGUGAAGAUGCAGUGUACCCGCGGCAAGACGGAAAGACCCCGUGAACCUUUACUAUAGCUUGACACUGAACAUUGAGCCUUGAUGUGUAGGAUAGGUGGGAGGCUUUGAAGUGUGGACGCCAGUCUGCAUGGAGCCGACCUUGAAAUACCACCCUUUAAUGUUUGAUGUUCUAACGUUGACCCGUAAUCCGGGUUGCGGACAGUGUCUGGUGGGUAGUUUGACUGGGGCGGUCUCCUCCUAAAGAGUAACGGAGGAGCACGAAGGUUGGCUAAUCCUGGUCGGACAUCAGGAGGUUAGUGCAAUGGCAUAAGCCAGCUUGACUGCGAGCGUGACGGCGCGAGCAGGUGCGAAAGCAGGUCAUAGUGAUCCGGUGGUUCUGAAUGGAAGGGCCAUCGCUCAACGGAUAAAAGGUACUCCGGGGAUAACAGGCUGAUACCGCCCAAGAGUUCAUAUCGACGGCGGUGUUUGGCACCUCGAUGUCGGCUCAUCACAUCCUGGGGCUGAAGUAGGUCCCAAGGGUAUGGCUGUUCGCCAUUUAAAGUGGUACGCGAGCUGGGUUUAGAACGUCGUGAGACAGUUCGGUCCCUAUCUGCCGUGGGCGCUGGAGAACUGAGGGGGGCUGCUCCUAGUACGAGAGGACCGGAGUGGACGCAUCACUGGUGUUCGGGUUGUCAUGCCAAUGGCACUGCCCGGUAGCUAAAUGCGGAAGAGAUAAGUGCUGAAAGCAUCUAAGCACGAAACUUGCCCCGAGAUGAGUUCUCCCUGACCCUUUAAGGGUCCUGAAGGAACGUUGAAGACGACGACGUUGAUAGGCCGGGUGUGUAAGCGCAGCGAUGCGUUGAGCUAACCGGUACUAAUGAACCGUGAGGCUUAACCUU